UCUCUCUCUCUCUCUCUCUCUCAUCUCAAUCACCUAAUUAUUCUAAGAUGAAAAUCUUCUUCUUUUAGCUCAUUCUCUCCCCCCUUUCUCCUAGCACAAAUAUGGAAAUUAUUGUUAUUUCAGGGAAACAAUGAAGUUUGUUCUUCAUUUCCUUAAUCUUUCUUUUCUUGGAGUUUGGUAGAGAGAGAGAGAGAGAGAGAGAGAGAGAGAGUGUUUGUGGCUAUAACAUCUGAAGGCAGACUCAUCAAUAUCUGACUGGCAUUCUUCAAGUUUUAUAAGCAAGCAAUCAUAACCCUCACUUCACCUGACCCUUUCUCUUUCUCUCUCUCUACACUUUUCUCCGAAGAGGUCAGGGAGGAAACCCUGGAAGAAUUAAUGGAGGAGUGACUGAAAGAGCAAUAUAUAGGCAUAUAGCAGAAGCAAACACACAGACCUUGUAAGAUCAAAACCUUCAAUCUCUGAAUCUGUUCCCCUGGCAGGAUCCGAGAAGAUUUAACACCAUUUCCGAUGGAUUCAUGCUCAGAAGUGGAGAGCUUCAACUCCGAAAACACAAGCAUCAACGCCCACAACAACAAUAUUCCAGCCGCCGCCGCCGCAGGUGGCUCUUCCUCUUCAGCGUCCAGUACUCCCAGUCGAUACGAGAACCAGAAGCGCCGGGACUGGAACACCUUCGGUCAGUACCUCAAGAACCACAGGCCACCGCUCGCCCUCUCCCGCUGCAGCGGCGCUCACGUCCUCGAAUUCCUCCGAUACCUUGACCAAUUUGGCAAGACGAAGGUCCAUACUCCAAUCUGCCCCUUCUACGGCCUCGCCAACCCUCCGGCGCCGUGUCCUUGUCCUCUCCGCCAAGCCUGGGGCAGCCUCGACGCCCUUGUCGGCCGCCUCCGUGCCGCUUACGAAGAGAACGGCGGCAAGCCGGAAACAAACCCCUUUGGGGCUCGGGCCGUCCGGCUUUAUCUCCGUGAGGUCCGCGAUCUGCAGUCCAAGGCUCGGGGAAUCAGCUACGAGAAGAAGAAGCGGAAGCGCCCAGUACCGCCUCCACCCCAAGGCGGAAGCAGCGGCUGAUCACGAAUUCAGCAACUCCAUCGAUCUCCUCCCGUCUUUGUUUUGGGCUUAAGAACGAAUGGCUGGAUCUGAGACAGCGCGAUCCUGCUUUUGAUGCAAACAGUAGUAGUAGUCGUCUAGUAGUUGGAGCACUUUGUCACUGGCAGAGAUCGAUGGUAGAGACACUGAGCCAUAGUGAGAACUUUGUAUUAAAAGUAGAAGCAGAAGUUUAAUGUACUACUGGUUAAAUAUCAUUUUCCAUCGAGUUGAAGGCACUCCUAUGCUGAACAGCAUCAUUGCGGAUCGUCGUCAUAUCAUGAGUUCUUCAGCAUUUCCAUUCGAAAUUUCCCUUUUUCUGCCUCUUUGUGUCUUUGAUACAUAUAUAUAAGAUGUUAAGGCUUGUUUUAAGAGCUUCCUUAAUCAGUAUCAUCUUAAUUUCAGGCCCAUUUUGGGAGCCUGUAAUUUUAAUGGAAAAUAUGUUACAA